ensembl:lncRNA
CGGAAGCGAGUCAGCUUCCCAGUCAUGCCACGGAAUCUCACCUCCAGAAGCCUCCAGCACAGGGGUGGUCCCCUGGCACCCAGGACGUCUACUGCCCUUCCUGACCCCCAUGGGGCCACCCUCUCGGGUCUCGCACCCACCACCACCACCACCCAGAGCCACAACAACUGACCCAGGAGAACACUCUCCCGCAGCAUACUGGAGCCUCCACAGCCCUCAUGUGCAACUUGCUGUGCUCAGCUUACUCCUCUUGGGGACUGAGGGCACUUCUCUGCCUGGGGACGCCACCUGCCACGGAGGCCAGGGAAUGACACCCACGAGCACUGGAGUGGCGAGCACCCAAGAGGAGAUACCCUACAUCCAAGGUCAGUAACAGUGGCCAGGUGGAGAUACCCCACGUACAACAUCAGAAGCAGUGGCUGUGCUUUACUGGAGCAGCCGUGAAGAGAUACCCCACGUCCAAGCCACUGCAGAUGGCUGCUGCGCUAGGACACCAGAAGGCUACAUGGCAGAUAAUGAAGAUUCAGAGCAGGAGAGCAAGAAUAUGGAGAUGUCAGAUAACUCUCUGGUCAUCUUUUUGAAGAAUGUCAAAAAUGUCGUCAGUGAUGAUGAAGAAGACCAUGAAGAGCAAGUGUGAACACUGGACCUGGGCUGAAAAGGAUGCUUUGCCCAGAAGGCAAGAAGAAUCAUUCCUCAGAGGUCAAGAAUAUCAACUACCAGCUGAGUCAAGAGGGUUCAUAGCUGGCCACAAAAAUGGGUGACCCAGUUGAAGGUCUGUAGAUAAUAUUCUGAGCCAUAUCCUGAGAGCUGUCUUACAGAUACCAAAACACCAGAUGAGGAAGUUAACUACAUGAAGACCAGACUAUAUCCAGGAUUUGAGCUGCCACAAUUCUGAGGAUUGACCACAAGGAAAUGGGAACCAGCACACCCCAGAACUGAAGAUUAAUUGCCUGAAACAAACAAGACGAUGCCAGUCAGAUCGAUGAUGACCAAUUUUAAGAUGACUGUGCUGUUUCUACAUGUAACCUCCCCUCCUACCCUGUCUAUAAAAGCCCUCACCCCCUUGUCGGGAGUCGGGGGUAGGGGAGUCGGCCUGUGGACAGAUGUCUGCCACCAUCCCCAACCCCCCUAGUUGCCAGUAUCUGAAAUAAAUCAAACUUUCCUUUCUA